UCCGUGGAAUUGUAUAACAAAAUUAUUUCUGUAAACAAAGGGGGAUAGUUUCAAUAUCAUUCCCCUUUAAAUAGUAAUGCAAAAUGAAAAGGUAUAGUAUAAGAUUUGUAAAUAUGCGGAGUUUUGUGGUGUUUUUAGUUUCCUCCUUAGUUUCCCUAUCCAUGGCCAUGGAAGCUCCCACGAAUAUUUUGAUACACCCUUCCCUUUCUGCACCAAUUUCACCUUCUCACCAAACUCUACUUACCUCUCUUCACCUCCUAAAUGCUUCCGCCUUUGAUCCUCCAACUCCAAAUACUUUUCCUCCACCUCCUCUGGAUGCGCCUCCUCCAGCUCAAUCUUCGACGAAAUCGAACCCAUCUCCCUCACCUUCUUCCUCGCUCUCCUCUCCUUCCACGCCACUACCACCCCCUACCUCGCGUCGUUCACCAAUUUCAGUGGGAAACAGAUCCGCACCAGUGCAAAUUGUGGCGAUUGUGAUUGCAACUACAAUUAUUUUCAUAGGUGCACUUGUUGGGGGAUUUUGUUACCUACGCCGACGAGUGUUACAAAAUCCCGUAUAUUAGCUUCUGGAUUUCUCCUCUUCUUUUACUCUUUUUGUAUUCGUAAAAAUAUAGCGACUCAUUUUUUUUUUUUUGGUUUUCCCUUUUCCUUAAAUAUCAAAUCUUUAAUAAUAACUCCAUUUUCAUUUCUCUUCUGUACUUCUGUUCCCUUUCUUGUCAAAGUCUGUAAUGCCUAUAUAUAUUUUGUAUAUCUUCCAUUGGCUAAUACAUAGUGAAAUAUAUUACUUUCUGCCUUCUGUUAAA